GACAGAGGGUGCAAACGUUGUUCGGAAUUACUGGGCGUAAAGCGCGUGUAGGCGGCUCGGAUAGUCGGGUGUGAAAGCCCUGGGCUCAACCCAGGAAGUGCACUCGAUACUGCCGAGCUGGAGUCCCGGAGAGGAUGGCGGAAUUCUCGGUGUAGAGGUGAAAUUCGUAGAUAUCGAGAGGAACACCUGUGGCGAAGGCGGCCUUCUGGACGGUGACUGACGCUGAGACGCGAAAGCGUGGGGAGCAAACAGG
rnacentral:rRNA from 1 species